UUCAGGCAGGUUAACAGCUGGGUGUGCAGGGUAAUUAACAUUUACAGGUGUGUUUGCUGUGUGUGUAUGGAGCAUUCACCUGUCAGCUCUGAGCCCUGGCUCCUUAGCUCUGUCCCCGUGGUCCUCCUGAUCCCGUGAGGCAACAGCUCAUUUAACAAAGGCUGGACAUCCCCCAAAGUACUCAGAUGCACUAAACAGCUUUAAAAAAAAGCUUAUUUUGUGAUGUAAAGAGUUGCAGCUAUAUAAAUAAACAAUUUUCAGAGUCACCCAGAAGCAAAGACAGGCCAGAGGAAAAAGUGAUGAUGUAAUAGCCAAGAUAAAUUUACUGGAGAAAAGUGAUGCUGGGUCUGCAGGGGAAGCAGAUGUACAAUGGCCAUGUCAAGAGAUGGAACAGGAAUGGCCAGUGUGGGACUUCUGAAAAGUAAUAAAAAAACCCCAGAAUGGUUUGAGCCCAGCUUUAAGGUUCCUGCAUUCUAGUCACUCUUUAGCAGUUCAGCAAACACAACACGGAAAGCACCUUGUCCUCUACCACCAUGUGAGAUUCCUUUCUCAGAUGGAAUCUGUCUCCAGGGCCACAGUUCAAACCACAUUUCUGAUGAAGGGUCUUCAACCUUAAGAAUUGUUACAAAGUUAAAUUCAUUCCCAUCAUAAUUACCAUGCCUGUGUUAACAGAUGGGCAGCUGAGGUUGUGGGAGUAUUAUUUGUUCAAGGUCACACAGAAAAUCUAAGGCAGAGCCCUGGUAGGAACACAAGUCUCCAGAGCCCAGACCUAAUGCUUGAAGCCCAAAGCUUCCCUCACACAGCCCAGCUGGCAGCUCACUGGUGGAGUGCAGCAGCAGGAAAGGCAAAGAGAAGGCAGCUCCUCUCCACCCAGAGGAACAGGUCAGGGCUGAGGACAGCCUGAGGUUCAGCACCAAAGCUGAGGAAGAAGGGAUGUCCCUCUGCCACUGAGUUUUGGGUUUUCCUCUGAAAUACACCCCAGCUAUGGACAAGAGGCAGCUGAAACAACUCCCACAGCAGCAUCUCCUCACAGCCCUGUGGCACCUCCCAGGAACUGGAACCCUCAUCUGUGGAGAACAAAUCAGAAUUGUCCCCCCCCAUGAACCUUCUCACUUUCAGAUUAGAGUCAGAAAUGCCACACACCACACUUGCUAUUUCUAAACAUCAUCUGUGACUAUUUGCAAUGUAAAUAAUCUUCAGUAGGAAAAAUUGCUUAUCCUGCACAAUAAUCCUUUGCUUCCCCUGGAGAAACUGGGUCUGGAUAUGGCCCUGACACUGCACAUGCAGAAAAUAAAUAAAAUUUUGUGCAGUAUCUUCAUUUGGGGGUGGAGAGAGAGGGGGCAUAAUUAAAUUAAUACAACAAAAAUCCAAAAUCCUUUUGAACUCAGUAUUUUUCCUUGCUGUGAAGUCCCCAGAAUGUUUCCCAUUAUUUUCUGUUGUUACCCACAGUGCAAAUGAGAAGCUGAAAUAUCAAAUUGCCCUACUGUGUUGGACCAGAGCUACCCAAAUCCUGAUAUUCAAUAUUCCCAAAGUCUAUACAUACAUGUUCCAGUCGUAUUUUGACAAUCUCACCAGGAAACAGAGGCAAUCAACCACCACCUACUGUCAGAGGAGAAUUCAUAUUUUACAUUAAUAACCAUACAAUUCAGAAGAUUACUAUCUAUAACAACAAAACUUCUGGCUUGUUGCAUAUAAAAGAUUCACAGAAGAUAACAGUUCUCCCAUAACUCCAACAAAUUCCAUUUGCUUUGCUAACUACUGCCCUCAUCUAUCCUUUGGAAUAUUAAUUUUCUUGUAUGAAAUGUCCAAUUAUGUCUAAUUAUCCUUCAGGAUAAUCUCUGCUACUCUUUUGGAUCACUCAGGGUGUUGCUAAGUGGAGUGAUCUUUCCUGAGAAACUUCUGAACUAUUUACAUGCACAAAAAGAAAUUCCCAAUGGAAUUCAUCCGGUCUCUAUUAAUCAAAGAAUCCAUUUCUGUAAACAUUUGCACAUACUUUUUUUCAGUGUCAUUAUGGGAUUCUAUGAGUGAACAAACUGGUUUGGAUUAGAAAAUCACCACCAUCAUCAUCCUGCUCCUGAAAUGGCUCUGGAAAAAUCAGUCUGUGCUAUUACCUAGUAAGGAAUCCUUAGGUAAAUAUCACUCCAAGGCUUUAUUGUGGGGUGGGCUACAGAAUCCUGGAAUGGCUUGGGUUGUUAAAGGCCUCCAAAAAUCCUCUUGUCCCAAGCCCUGCCCUGGGCAGGGGCAGCUCCCACCAGCCCAGGUUGUUCAGUGCAGCCCCCUGAGCACAGCCUGUGAACAGAUAUUUAUGCCCGUGGCUGAUUGAUCAUUUCAAAGGAAAUACCUAAAAAUUAAAACAAAUCAAAUCAAUCCAAACUUAAGUCACGGGUGCAGCAGAGAAAGCAGAACUGACAGACUGGAAACCUUACUAGUACUUAUGCAUGAUUCAUUUGUCUUUGGCAUGCCAAAACACUUGGGAGUAAAUUGUUGUUUUAAAUACUUGUAUAUUCUGAAAUUCAAAGUAACUUGUCAAUGAAACAUGAAGUUUGUCAGUACUCUCAUUACCUUUGUGCUCAAAAAAUUCAUAAAUAAAUAAAUACACCUCCUUGAUGUUAAAUGUUUAUCAGUCUUGCUUUUUUUUUGACAAUGAUUUGAUAGUACAUUAGUCAUGAAAGGUGGAAAAUAAUCAGAAUCUAAGCAAAAAUGCUUAAUUCAUGAGAUGAACACACAAAGGAGUUGCAGUAAUUAAUAGAAAUUCAAUGUCUUAUCAGAUUAUUGCUGCGAGUCCCUGUCUUUCUCAGCUGGAUCCAGGAAAUAUUUAAAAGACAUAACACACAAAAUAAUUCAUGAGCUUGUACUUUUUCUGAAGGCAUGAGGAUGUGGCUGCACUUUCAAACUUGUGUCAUAUUUUGGUGCAAUUAAUCUGCUUUCCAAAAGUUGCUGCUUUUCAGACCAAUGCCCUAUUGUUGACUUAUACAGAUAUUCCUGGGCUGCACUGGGACAAAGGAAUUAUGCACAUACUUUGUUUAGCUUGGGUGUGGACACAUUUCUAUUCCAUUUAUAAAACCCCAAAAUGCAUUCAGCUUCUGCCUCACUUUUAUCAGAGGGCCUUUUGCUUGUGGGCAAACCCUGGUUGAUGUAUUUGACAAAACUGAGUAGGAGUUCAGCUGUUGGUGUGACAGAAUAAAGCACUGAAAAGUUUUCACUGUGGUCUUAGCACUGAACUUGCUGCUAUGAAAUCAGUUUACAGGCCACAAUUUUGACCAUGUGAGGAACUCUAAAUGAGAUAUGGCAUUUAUUACUGAAGCAGGAUGCAAAGUGUGAUUUCCUUUCCCAAAUAUUAUCUUAAAACAUAAGAUAGUAUGUUAUGCCAGGAAAUGUAUAAUAUGUUAUACAAGCAUAGAUGUAUAGUAAACUUUAAAAUAACCUCUCAAACUGAACCAGCCAGGCUGAGGAAACACUGGGAAAAUCUUACUGCAUCUGCUCAUGUGAAUGUUUUUUGGUAUGGGAGAGCUCAAGCCAAUUAAACAUGCUGAUUUUGACCAUGAGGAUGGAAUUACUGACACUAAAGCUAAAUCUUAAUGCACUUAAUACUUUAAAACCAGUGCUGUCACAUAAUGGCAUGCAGAUAUACAAGUGACACAUACAUGUGCCAUGUCUGGGGAGUUUCCCUGUUCACAUUUGCUCCUUCCAUUUAUAAAACCCCCAAUUUCCUCCCCAUGAACCUUGGUUUAUCUUGAAAGCACCAUCCAAACAGUAAUGCCCAAUAUACCUGUACUGUAGCUGUGAAAUACCAGGAGGUUAUAAACCAGAAACACUGUGAGAGUUUUCUUUCAAAGAUUGUACUGACCAUGUUUGAUUCUUCAUGGAAAUAAACACUGGAAAAUGCAUGUCUUCAUUAAAAUAUUAAAUUAGCUUAAAUUAAAAUUAGCUCAUAAUUCUGUAUUCAUCCCUUUACACACAGCAGUUCUCUCCAUAUUGACAGAACAGCAGAUUUUAGAUUAUUUUCUGCAAAGAAGAGUGAGUGUGGCAA